rnacentral:lncRNA from 1 species
CCGGCUGUCCCUAAGAACACGAGGGGAGGGCGGACAACGCUGCUUGUGCGCCUGAAAAUCCCAGCGUUGUUGCAGGGCAGCCCCAGCGGGACGAGAGGGCCCCGGGCUGCCGAGGGCUGGGAGCUGCUCCGCGCUGCCUGCGCUCCCUCUGCCGGCACCAGAGCUCCGGGAGCAGCCUCUGGGAACAUCCCCUGGCACCGCCCUCGCCUCCCGAGCAGCGCCCGCGGCUCCGCAGCGGGCAGAGUUUAUCCUACAAAGGCUUUUCCACUGCCCCACAGAAACAACCAGCGCAGCGCGACUGUGUGGAGCGAACGGGGCAGGAAUAAUUUACUCAAAACGACGUUGGAUAAAGCAGCUGGAUCCCUGCUGUUUGGAGACGGACCCCUGCGUGUCCCAGCCAAGAGCGGACCAGAGGAGAAGGAGCAGAACAGCGUCUCUGAACACGACAAGCGGGAUGGAAAGAAACCCAGCACUGCAUGAGGCACCCCAACAGCUCUGGCAGCAAAGCCAGCCCUCCACAGGGCAGCUGGUGCAGUGUGCAGUGACAACCGCAUGACAGAGACAGCGGAGGCAACACAGUCUCAUAAAGAGCCGGGACGCUGCGGCCGGGCCGGCGGCGCAGGGGAGCGCGGAGGCGGCGGCGAGCAGGC